rnacentral:rRNA from 1 species
ACACGUAUGAAAGUCAAGCUGAAAGACUUUACUCAAUGAUGUAAGUGGUGGUGCAUGGUCGUUCGUAGUUCGUGGAUUGAUUUGUCUGGUCUAUUCCGAUAACGAGCGAGACCCCAACGUUCCUAAUAGGGGCCGCAGCCAAGCCCGCCGCAAGGUGGGCUAGCCGCAGCCUUGGUUAGCUUCUUAGACGUAUCGUAGCCGAUAAGGUUACUGAAAUGGGUUAAUAACAGGUCAGUCAUGCCCUUAGAUGUUCUGGGCCGCACGCGCGUUACAAUGGCAUGAAAAGAUAGUGCUGUAAAGGCGUUCCCGGGGCCGAAAGGUCUUGGUAACCCUUAGUCCCUGCCCUGACUGGGACAGAUCUUUGCAAUUAUUGGUCUCUAACGAGGAAUUUUUAGUAAUCGCGGGUCAUUAACCCGCGAUGA